CCGCCCUCCACCAUCCUACCUACGAGCUCUGCAUCUCUCUCACGUCUUUUUAAAAAGAUAUUUUGGGAAGCAGCACACGCACAUCCAGAGACCAAUUACUCAAUCUCCCAGCAAGUGUAGCUACCAUGGUAGCCUUCUCAGACAUGGCCUGUAAAGUAGCUCUGAACCUAAGAGCGAUAGAACCCUGGACAAGUUCAUUAACCUCUGAGACUUCCUGCCUCAACUCUUAAAGGGUGGAGAGCUAUAACAACCACCUGUCAAGAUGAGGAGUCAGCCAGGACUGCAGGACAGAUGGGUCAACACAAGCAGACUGAGGCAAGCACGGUGCAUGAAGAAGCUUUUCCCAUUUUCCAUUUCUUCCUUUUAUAACUUUUAACCUCUUAACAUUUAAACUUUUCCCAUGAUUCUUGUUCCUG
ensembl:lncRNA